rnacentral:rRNA from 1 species
ACAUGCCUACAACAUAGCAUUAAUUUAUUGAAUCCCAUUAGAACUCUACAGUUAAGCAGGCUCAGGAUAUAGUAGUACUAGGAUGGGUGACCACAUGGGAAGUCUCAGUGUUUUACAUGCA